GACGAACGCUGGCGGCGUGCUUAACACAUGCAAGUCGAACGGAAAGGCCCUGCUUUUGUGGGGUGCUCGAGUGGCGAACGGGUGAGUAACACGUGAGUAACCUGCCCUUGACUUUGGGAUAACUUCAGGAAACUGGGGCUAAUACCGGAUAGGAGCUCCUGCUGCAUGGUGGGGGUUGGAAAGUUUCGGCGGUUGGGGAUGGACUCGCGGCUUAUCAGCUUGUUGGUGGGGUAGUGGCUUACCAAGGCUUUGACGGGUAGCCGGCCUGAGAGGGUGACCGGCCACAUUGGGACUGAGAUACGGCCAAGACUCCUACGGGAGGCAGCAGUGGGGAAUAUGGCACAAUGGGCGGAAGCCUGAUGCAGCAACGCCGCGUGGGGGAUGACGGCCUUCGGGUUGUAAACCGCUUCCGCCGGUGACGAAGCGGGAGGGAGGGUAAUGGGUAAAGAAGCACCGGCUAACUACGUG
rnacentral:rRNA from 1 species